UACGAGGGCCCCAAGCGUUAUCCGGAUUUAUUGGGCGUAAAGCGUCCGUAGGUGGUUUAUCGCAUCUCCUGUUAAAUCCCGAGGCUCAACCUCGGGCCAGCGGGAGAGAUGGACAAACUAGAGAUCGGAAGAGGCAAACGGAAUUGCUGGUGUAGGGGUUAAAUCCAUUAAUAUCAGCAAGAACAUCAAAUGCGAAGGCAGUUUGCUAGGACGAAUCUGACACUCAGUGGACGAAAGCGUGGGGAGCGAAUGGGAUUAGAUACCCCAGUAGUCCACGCCGUAAACGAUGGAUACUAAGCAUUGGCAGUAUCGACCCUGCCAGUGUUGUUAAUUUAAGGUAACCCGUUAAGUAUCCCGCCUGGGGAGUACGAGCGCAAGCUUAAA
rnacentral:rRNA from 1 species